GGCUCAGAUUGAACGCUGGCGGCAUGCCUUACACAUGCAAGUCGAACGGCAGCACGGGUGCUUGCACCUGGUGGCGAGUGGCGAACGGGUGAGUAAUACAUCGGAACGUACCUUAUCGUGGGGGAUAACGCAGCGAAAGCUGUGCUAAUACCGCAUACGCCCUGAGGGGGAAAGCGGGGGGAUCGAAAGACCUCGCGCGAUUAGAGCGGCCGAUGCCUGAUUAGCUUGUUGGUGGGGUAAAAGCCCACCAAGGCGACGAUCAGUAGCUGGUCUGAGAGGACGAUCAGCCACACUGGGACUGAGACACGGCCCAGACUCCUACGGGAGGCAGCAGUGGGAAUUUUGGACAAUGGGGGAAACCCUGAUCCAGCAAUGCCGCGUGAGUGAAGAAGGCCUUCGGGUUGUAAAGCUCUUUUGUCAGGGAAGAAACACCGGCUCUAACACAGUCCGGGAAUGACGGUACCUGAAGAAUAAGCACCGGCUAACUACGUG
rnacentral:rRNA from 1 species